GGGGGUGUAGCUCAGUUGGUAGAGCGCGACAAUCGCAAUGUCGAGGUCCGGGGUUCGAUUCCCCGCACCUCCACCG
rnacentral:tRNA from 1 species